rnacentral:lncRNA from 1 species
ACAUGAGAGACACCGUUGAUGGCAUAUCGCAACUUACCAUCCACUUUACUAACUGAAUUGACAAGCUUGAUGGUACGAGUAAUGUUGAUGGAACCAUAAUGGUAGGAGCCUUGAGGAUUAGGCCUUGCAGCACUGGCAGUGAGGUUCCAACGAAAGGUACGGAAUUGAUUGAGGGACCAAGCCCAACCCACUGGGGCCUCGGGGAUUUCAGGAGAUGCAUGGCCUUUUCCAUCGGUGUAUCGAACAAUGCCUUUACCAACAAGAAUGCUCUUAAUAAACCUAGUUGAUGCAACCAUAUAAUAGUCUUUCGGCUCCUGGUUUGCGGUGACUAGCACCGAAAAACAUUGCCCCACAUGGACGUCAAGUGAUUGGUAAUCGUUUUGCACGGUAUGAGACCCUUCCAUCUCUACCAGCUUCAUGGUGUGUCCUUGGAAUCUGAAGUUGAGAGAUGACUUGAGACCCACAUUGCAAACUCGAUACUUGUAAGUCUUUCCGGGCUUCAUGGUGAAGAGUGGCUCAUCGGUUCCGUCACCCUUUGCGGUCUUUCCAUUGAUGAGGACACCGUCGGGUCUAGCAAUGGAGCGACCACUAUCCAAAAAUUGCUUAAGUGCGGUGUGGCUCUUGGUGUACCAGUCACCAAUAAGGACAGUGUAAUCAUCUUCAGGGUCAGCAUAGGGAACAGGAAUGAGUAAACGACUAUUCACACGGAGGCCACCAAAGCCUCCAGCUGCCCUGUGCAUGGCAGUUGAUGGAUAGUAGAAGAAGCUUCCAAUUUGGUCCUUAACUUGGAAAUGGUAGGUGUAGUUUGUUCCUGGUAGGAUUGGGCAAUUGGUUCCAAGUAGCCCAUCUUGCCAAGAGUUCUUCCUGUGCUGAAUUCCACUCCUGCAAGUGUCAUUCCAAUUUAUUAAUAAUUUUAAAAAGAGUUACAUUAGUAAAUAUGAUGAGAAUACAAGUGGCAGUUCCAUAAAUAUACCAAUGUAGAAGGAAAGGUUCGUCGAGAUUAUUGAAGACGUUAAUGACUAAGUUAUUGUUGGACGUGGAGUUUAUAUUAGGUCCGGGGAAUUGACCAUUGAUGAGAAUGCCUUGUUGGGGAACGCCCAAGGGAGAGAUGGUGCCAUAGGUGACAUUCCAUGUGAAGAAGAAAUAAGGGUCUUCACCCCGGACCGUCACUGUCAUUGCUGCAGCCGAGAGGCAAAGCAGCGCGGUAAACAUCAACCCAGCCAUCUUCUACCUCUCCCUUCUCUCUCUUUCAAUAUUUUUCUUUUCAAAUCACCGCUCUUAUCUCGAGCAGGCUAAGUAUCCCUAAAUGGAUUAUUGUUCGUUCCCUGAUGGCUAAUCCUUCCAAUCCUUCAUUUAUAUACAAUUUCUCAAACAUUUUGACUCCAAGUUUUUUUCUAACUGCCCCCUCUUUCUUGGGGCCUUGCAUAUUUCCCUACCUCUCCUUUUUUAGAAGAGUGCCAACAUCCCCGGUCCAAACUAUAUGUUUCAUUCAAUAAUUAGAUUGGGUUGACUCUCCAAAUAUAGUGGAUUAAUUGAGAGACGAGCUAACAAAGAUUAUUUUCAAUUUUUCACUUUAUUUAAACUUUUUAAAUUCUAGUUUCAUAAUUUAAAUGCUUCCAGUCAAUGUUAUUUCUAACCAAUUAUUUUUGUUUAUAAAGUAAUAUGAUUAUAUUUAGUACAGAAUAACUACAACAAUUACCUGUAACAAAGUAGUCCUAAACUUUCAAGUUUUCAUUAAUGCUAACUCUAGGAAAAAGUUAUAAAAAAACGUACCCCUCAUGGUUUAUAACACUUCCAGGUCAUAUUUGUGUUUUUGAUCAAUUUAAUUCAGUACAGUGCUAUACUCACACUCCAAGAAGGAUUAGUUCGACUCGUUUUUGUCUCAUUAUAUAUAUUUUGUAAUCAAGUUUUUAAUGAGGUUUAAUUUAUUUAAUACAAAUGUUGUUGCAGAAGUGAUUUGCUAUGAAUCCAAUAAAAUUUGUUGUGAUGACAAAUGGUGACCUAGGGUCGAUGUUGACACUUCUCCGGCCAUCACAUCUUCAUCUUUUGGUUUUAGUUGAUGAAUCAAGAGGCCGGGGUGUAACAUGCAAUGGACAUAGCAAGGAAUGAGUAUUAGCAUGAUCAAAAUAUAUAUAAUUUCAUGAACAACGGACUUUUACUGAGUGUUCAAUCAAGAUUUGUUUAUUUUAAUCCUGAAUCCAAUAAAGUUUGUCGUGAUUAACAAAUUUUGACUAAGAUAUGGUGUGUGAACUUUAGUUUUAUGAUUAUACAAUAAAAUCCUAACAUUGUGUAUAAUAAUAAAUGUUAAGAUUUUUGAACUAGAUAGUUUUUUAAAUUAAAUUUAGAUAAAGAAUGUAUAACAUAUUUUGAUCCACGAAUAAUCUUUAGGAUUUAGGAUUUGUGCUAAGGGUGUUCAAUUUGUUUGAAAUUUUCUUAAGUUAGAAAAGAACUAAUUUUAAAAUAAAUUAUAUUUAUAUCCUCAUUUUUCUCGCAUUUUCUUUUAUUUUUCAAUUCUUACCUUACACCCAUUUUCUAAAUAACCAAGAUAAAAAUAAAAAAAUUAAGUUAAAACCUAAAAUCCACAAAAUUUGACCAGGGCUAAAAUCAAAAUCUCAACUUAAAACAUUACAAAGAUAGAUAGUGAAAUAAAAAAGUAGUUAAGUUAUUAACACACUCAGCUAUUAAAAUACAAUUUUGUUAAAAUAUUUAAGUCAAUUCUAGCGGUGAAGUCCCAUUCACAUAACAAACUUAAUUAAACUCUCCAUUAAAGUUUCAAAUUAAUCCACUACUUAACCAAUGAAGAGAUGUUUGAAACACCCAAAACCAAGACCUGACUGCUUGGUGAGUAUUAGUUCAACACUACUUAAUCAAUGAAGAGAUGUUUGAAACACCCAAAACCAAGACCUGAGGGCUUGGUGAGUAUUAGAUCAUCACUACUUAAUCAAUGAAGAGAUGUUUGAAACACCCAAAACCAAGACCUGAGGGCUUGGUGAGUAUUAGAUCAUCACUACUUAAUCAAUGAAGAGAUGUUUGAAACACCCAAAACCAAGACCUGAGGGCUUGGUGAGUAUUAGUUCAUCACUACUUAAUCAAUGAAGAGAUGUUUGAAACACCCAAAACCAAGACCUGACGUCUUGGUGAGUGUUAGUUCAUCAGACACUCGUUCACAAAAUAAGACGAACACACAUAACACUCUUUUCUUGCUCUACAACUCUCUAAAAAUCAAAAUUCUCAAGAAACAAAGAUGUUCCAUCUUAAAGGUGGGGAAAUCCUAGCAAGAACAGUUUGUUACGUCGGAUGAAGUUUUAUUUGACGUUAACAGUAUAUUGCCGGACGGUGGAAAUAGUCUUGGGUUCUUGCAGUGAGGUGGUGCGUUAUAAUUGGUGCGUUAUAAUUGGUUAGAACAGUUUUCUCAAGAUAAAUUAAAGAGAAAAAUAUAAUUGUAUUAGACUAAGAAGAAAAGGGUUAUUAAAGAAUGAGUUGGAUAUGUAAUAUAAAUGCAAACAAAUGAUUGCCCUCUUCCUUAGCUUACACAUAUUUGUAGCUUAUCUAGUACAUACCUUUUUAAAGGAGCAUUAUUAUUGUUUCUGAAUUAUUGAAUCAAGUCUUAUAGAAGUUCCAUAAUAAAAGUAUACAUUUAUUUUUAUUUAAAAACUCAUCAUAUAAAAUCGAAUAAAAAAACAUGCACACAAACAGUAUAUACAAAAAAGAUAUAAUUAAUUAUCAGAAAAUAUUCUUUUAUUGUUUACUCGCAACCAAUCAUAUACAUGAAAAAUCAACCUCUCCAAAAUUACUUGAGGUGUAUCACAUUUUCACAUUUGGAGUGUGGAAUAAUGGUGGAUUUACUGUCUCAAAUAGUAUAUGGCUUGGGCAAUGGCAUGUCCUUCACUAAACCACAGAGUAAAGUGUUGUCGGGGAUGUUAUACUCAUCUCUGAGGGAGCGAGCUGGUGAAAGAACACUGACGUAGAGUUGGCUCCCCAAGUAACGAUUUUCCAACAACUCGGACCUCAAGUUCCACAUUCCAGCAUUGUCAAAUGUAAGAAGUAUGGCUGCCCACGACUUAGGAAAGACUUGGAUUGUAUGCCUGCUCACGGCAUCAAGAAGAUUGUAGUUGGCUCGUUUUUCCGGAGACCAUCUCCCAGGCUCAAUGCUGCAUAAACAUUGAACAAGAAUUCGUCAGUCAUUUCUAAGUUGGGGAUUAAAAUGGGUAACAUAUUAGCACAUUAAUUAUUUAAAACCACCCAGAUACUUACGCAACAGCGAAGAAUGAGUAGCCAUCCAAAUGCCAUGAUUGAAGGCUCUUCUCAUGGUUUUCAAAAAUGAUUUCUAUGAAAUUGCGGAAGGUUGCAUUGACAACAUUAGGAGCGACUGUCACAGUAGUUGCGCCUUCUGCUAGCCCCUCAUCAGAAAUGGUAUCGUACUUGAACACUUUGUCUGCUACUUCAAAGUACUCUGCAAGCUUCAAUGGAGUUUCAGGAUCAACAUGAGAGACACCGUUGAUGGCAUAUCGCAACUUACCAUCCACCUUACUGAUUGAAUUGACAAGCUUGAUGGUACGAGUAAUGUUGAUGGAACCAUAAUGGUAGGAGCCUUGAGGAUUAGGCCUUGCAGCACUGGCAGUGAGGUUCCAACGGAAGGUACGGAAUUGAUUGAGGGACCAAGCCCAACCCAUUGGGGCCUCAGGGAUUUCAGGAGAUGCAGGACCUUUUCCAUCGAUGUAUCUAACAAUGCCUUUACCAACAAGAACGUUCUUAAUAAACCUAGUUGAUGCAACCAUAUAAUAG